UCCUGGCUCUGUUGAUGUCUAUAGAAGUUUUACCAUUGACUUCAGUAGAAUCAGGAUU
rnacentral:pre_miRNA from 1 species